CACCAGCGCCUCGAGUGGGGAUCACGAUUAUUGGGUCUAAAGCGUCCGUAGCAGGCUUUGUAAAUGCUUUGUGAAAUCGGCAGGCAUAACCUGUCGGCGCGCAGAGUAGACUGCAGAGCUCGAGACCGGGAGAGGUUAGCAGUAUUCCUAGGGUACCGGUAAAAUGGGUUAAUCCUAGGAGGACUACCAAUGGCGAAGGCAGCUAACCAGAACGGUUCUGACUGUGAGGGACGAAAGCUAGGGGAGCAAAACG
rnacentral:rRNA from 1 species